GUCGAACCAAAUCAUUUUACAAGUUAUUUUUAUCGUUAGUACCAUCGUAAUCUCAGAAUCAUUUCUGUCUGGAACACCAUGCCCAACGUGCGAUAUUAACUAUAACUGUGAAUGGAAUCAAACUUGUGGCACUGGGGAGACCUGCAUGGCGCGUGGCUUUACUGGCAACUUGUACCAUUUUAAAACCCAUUGUACGCCAGUAAGUUUCUU